UACGUAGGGUGCGAGCGUUAAUCGGAAUUACUGGGCGUAAAGCGUGCGCAGGCGGUUCGUUAAGUCAGAUGUGAAAGCCCCGAGCUCAACUUGGGAACUGCAUUUGAAACUGGCGGGCUGGAGUGUGGCAGAGGGGGGGUGGGAAUUCCACGUUGUAGCAGUGAAAAUGCGUAGAGAUGUGGAGGAACACCGAUGGCGAAGGCAGCCCCCUGGGUCAAGAUUGACGCUCAUGCACGAAAGCGUGGGGAGCAAACAGG
rnacentral:rRNA from 1 species